rnacentral:tRNA from 1 species
GGGGAGGUGGCUCAGUCGGUAGAGUGUUUGCCUACCAUACAAAAAACUCUGGGUUCAAAUUCCAGCCCCUCGU